rnacentral:rRNA from 1 species
UACAGAGGUCUCAAGCGUUGUUCGGAUUCAUUGGGCGUAAAGGGCGCGUAGGCGGCCAGCACAAGUCAGUUGUGAAAUCUCCGAGCUUAACUCGGAAAGGUCAACUGAUACUGUGCGGCUAGAGUGCGGAAGGGGCAACUGGAAUUCUUGGUGUAGCGGUGAAAUGCGUAGAUAUCAAGAGGAACACCUGCGGCGAAGGCGGGUUGCUGGGCCGACACUGACGCUGAGGCGCGAAGCCAGGGGAGCGAACGGG